GGUUAAGCGACUAAGCGUACACGGUGGAUGCCCUGGCAGUCAGAGGCGAUGAAGGACGUGCUAAUCUGCGAAAAGCGUCGGUAAGGUGAUAUGAACCGUUAUAGCCGGCGAUGUCCGAAUGGGGAAACCCAGUGCAAUUCGUUGCACUAUCGUUAACUGAAUACAUAGGUUAACGAGGCGAACCGGGGGAACUGAAACAUCUAAGUACCCCGAGGAAAAGAAAUCAACCGAGAUUCCCCCAGUAGCGGCGAGCGAACGGGGAGCAGCCCAGAGUCUGAAUCAGCUUGUGUGUUAGUGGAACGGUCUGGAAAGUCCGACGGUACAGGGUGAUAGUCCCGUACACCAAAAUGCACAGGCUGUGAACUCGAAGAGUAGGGCGGGACACGUGGUAUCCUGUCUGAAUAUGGGGGGACCAUCCUCCAAGGCUAAAUACUCCUGACUGACCGAUAGUGAACCAGUACCGUGAGGGAAAGGCGAAAAGAACCCCGGCGAGGGGAGUGAAAAAGAACCUGAAACCGUGUACGUACAAGCAGUGGGAGCACCUUCGGGUGUGACUGCGUACCUUUUGUAUAAUGGGUCAGCGACUUAUAUUCUGUAGCAAGGUUAACCGUAUAGGGGAGCCGCAGGGAAACCGAGUCUUAACUGGGCGUUAAGUUGCAGGGUAUAGACCCGAAACCCGGUGAUCUAGCCAUGGGCAGGUUGAAGGUUGGGUAACACUAACUGGAGGACCGAACCGACUAAUGUUGAAAAAUUAGCGGAUGACUUGUGGCUGGGGGUGAAAGGCCAAUCAAACCGGGAGAUAGCUGGUUCUCCCCGAAAGCUAUUUAGGUAGCGCCUCGUGAACUCAUCUUCGGGGGUAGAGCACUGUUUCGGCUAGGGGGUCAUCCCGACUUACCAACCCGAUGCAAACUACGAAUACCGAAGAAUGUUAUCACGGGAGACACACGGCGGGUGCUAACGUCCGUCGUGAAGAGGGAAACAACCCAGACCGCCAGCUAAGGUCCCAAAGUCAUGGUUAAGUGGGAAACGAUGUGGGAAGGCACAGACAGCCAGGAUGUUGGCUUAGAAGCAGCCAUCAUUUAAAGAAAGCGUAAUAGCUCACUGGUCGAGUCGGCCUGCGCGGAAGAUGUAACGGGGCUAAACCAUGCACCGAAGCUGCGGCAGCGACACUAUGUGUUGUUGGGUAGGGGAGCGUUCUGUAAGCCUGCGAAGGUGACCUGUGAGGGUUGCUGGAGGUAUCAGAAGUGCGAAUGCUGACAUAAGUAACGAUAAAGCGGGUGAAAAGCCCGCUCGCCGGAAGACCAAGGGUUCCUGUCCAACGUUAAUCGGGGCAGGGUGAGUCGACCCCUAAGGCGAGGCCGAAAGGCGUAGUCGAUGGGAAACAGGUUAAUAUUCCUGUACUUGGUGUUACUGCGAAGGGGGGACGGAGAAGGCUAUGUUAGCCGGGCGACGGUUGUCCCGGUUUAAGCAUGUAGGCUGAUCCAGGCAAAUCCGGAUAAUCAAGGCUGAGGUGUGAUGACGAGGCACUACGGUGCUGAAGUAACAAAUGCCCUGCUUCCAGGAAAAGCCUCUAAGCAUCAGGUAACAUCAAAUCGUACCCCAAACCGACACAGGUGGUCAGGUAGAGAAUACCAAGGCGCUUGAGAGAACUCGGGUGAAGGAACUAGGCAAAAUGGUGCCGUAACUUCGGGAGAAGGCACGCUGGUGUGUAGGUGAAGUCCCUGCGGAUGGAGCUGAGACCAGUCGAAGAUACCAGCUGGCUGCAACUGUUUAUUAAAAACACAGCACUGUGCAAACACGAAAGUGGACGUAUACGGUGUGACGCCUGCCCGGUGCCGGAAGGUUAAUUGAUGGGGUUAUCCGUAAGGAGAAGCUCUUGAUCGAAGCCCCGGUAAACGGCGGCCGUAACUAUAACGGUCCUAAGGUAGCGAAAUUCCUUGUCGGGUAAGUUCCGACCUGCACGAAUGGCGUAAUGAUGGCCAGGCUGUCUCCACCCGAGACUCAGUGAAAUUGAACUCGCUGUGAAGAUGCAGUGUACCCGCGGCAAGACGGAAAGACCCCGUGAACCUUUACUAUAGCUUGACACUGAACAUUGAGCCUUGAUGUGUAGGAUAGGUGGGAGGCUUUGAAGCGUGGACGCCAGUCUGCGUGGAGCCAACCUUGAAAUACCACCCUUUAAUGUUUGAUGUUCUAACGUUGGCCCCUGACCGGGGUUGCGGACAGUGUCUGGUGGGUAGUUUGACUGGGGCGGUCUCCUCCCAAAGCGUAACGGAGGAGCACGAAGGUUAGCUAAUCCUGGUCGGACAUCAGGAGGUUAGUGCAAUGGCAUAAGCUAGCUUGACUGCGAGCGUGACGGCGCGAGCAGGUGCGAAAGCAGGUCAUAGUGAUCCGGUGGUUCUGAAUGGAAGGGCCAUCGCUCAACGGAUAAAAGGUACUCCGGGGAUAACAGGCUGAUACCGCCCAAGAGUUCAUAUCGACGGCGGUGUUUGGCACCUCGAUGUCGGCUCAUCACAUCCUGGGGCUGAAGUAGGUCCCAAGGGUAUGGCUGUUCGCCAUUUAAAGUGGUACGCGAGCUGGGUUUAGAACGUCGUGAGACAGUUCGGUCCCUAUCUGCCGUGGGCGCUGGAGAAUUGAGGGGGGCUGCUCCUAGUACGAGAGGACCGGAGUGGACGCAUCACUGGUGUUCGGGUUGUCAUGCCAAUGGCACUGCCCGGUAGCUAAAUGCGGAAGAGAUAAGUGCUGAAAGCAUCUAAGCACGAAACUUGCCCCGAGAUGAGUUCUCCCUGAGACUUUAAGUCUCCUGAAGGAACGUUGAAGACGACGACGUUGAUAGGCCGGGUGUGUAAGCGCAGCGAUGCGUUGAGCUAACCGGUACUAAUGAACCGUGAGGCUUAACCUU
rnacentral:rRNA from 1 species